UGGGGAAUAUUGGACAAUGGGCGCAAGCCUGAUCCAGCCAUGCCGCGUGAGUGAUGAAGGCCUUAGGGUUGUAAAGCUCUUUCAGUGGGGAAGAUAAUGACGGUACCCACAGAAGAAGCCCCGGCUAACUUCGUGCCAGCAGCCGCGGUAAUACGAAGGGGGCUAGCGUUGUUCGGAUUUACUGGGCGUAAAGCGCACGUAGGCGGAUGGUUAAGUCAGGGGUGAAAUCCCAGAGCUCAACUCUGGAACUGCCUUUGAUACUGGCCAUCUUGAGUCCGGAAGAGGUGAGUGGAACUCCUAGUGUAGAGGUGGAAUUCGUAGAUAUUAGGAAGAACACCAGUGGCGAAGGCGGCUCACUGGUCCGGUACUGACGCUGAGGUGCGAAAGCGUGGGGAGCAAACAGGAUUGGAUACCCUGGUAGUCCACGCCGUAAACUAUGAGAGCUAGCCGUUGGGACGUUUACGUCGCAGUGGCGCAGCUAACGCAUUAAGCUCUCCGCCUGGGGAGUACGGUCGCAAGAUUAA
rnacentral:rRNA from 1 species